rnacentral:rRNA from 1 species
AUUGAACGCUGGCGGCACGCUUUACACAUGCAAGUCGAGCGGUCAAAAUGAGGGGGCUUGCCCCCGAAAGACGAGCGGCGGACGGGUGAGUAACGCAUGGGAAUGCGCCCAGUAGUGGGGGACAACCCUGGGAAACCAGGGCUAAUACCGCAUGUUUUCCACGGAACAAAGCGGGGGACUUCUUCGGAAACCUCGCGCUAUUGGAGCAGCCCAUGUCCGAUUAGCUUGUUGGCGGGGUAACGACCCACCAAGGCGACGAUCGGUAGCUGGUCUGAGAGGAUGAUCAGCCACACCGGGACUGAGACACGGCCCGGACUCCUACGGGAGGCAGCAGUGGGGAAUAUUGGACAAUGGGGGCAACCCUGAUCCAGCGAUGCCGCGUGAGUGAAGAAGGCCUUCGGGUUGUAAAGCUCUUUCGCAGGGAAAGAAAAAACGCGGGCGAACAGGCCGCGUCCAUGACGGUACCCUGAGAAGAAGCGCCGGCUAACUUCGUGCCAGCAGCCGCGGUAAUACGGGGGGCGCAAGCGUUAAUCGGAAUUACUGGGCGUAAAGCGUGCGUAGGCGGCCGAGCAAGUCAGAUGUGAAAGCCCCGGGCUCAACCCGGGAAUUGCGUCCGAAACUGCCCGGCUAGAGUUCGGCAGAGGAAGGUGGAAUUCCGCGUGUAGCGGUGAAAUGCGUAGAGAUGCGGAAGAACACUAAUGGCGAAGGCAUCCUUCUGGGCCGACACUGACGCUGAGUCACGAAAGCGUGGGGAGCAAACAGGAUUAGAUACCCUGGUAGUCCACGCCCUAAACGAUGCCCGCUAGCUGUCGGGGGGAUUUCCCCCCGGUAGCGAAGCUAACGCGUUAAGCGGGC